GCCACCACACCCAACUAAUUUUUUGUUUUUGUUUUUUUUUUUUUUUUUUUGAGAUGAUGUCUUGUUCUGUCGCCCAGGCUGGAGUACAGUGGUGCAGUCUCAGCUGAUUGUAACCUCUGCCUUCUGAGUUCAAGCAAUUCUCUUGCCUCAGCCUCCCGAGUAGCUGGGAUUACAGGUGCACGCCAGCACACCUGGCUAAUUUUUAUAGGUUUAGUAGAGACAGGGUUUUGACAUGUUGGCCAGGCUGGUCUUGAACUCCUGGCCUCAGGUGAUCUGCCUGCUUUGGCCUUCCAUAGUUCUGGGAUUACAGGCGUGAACCACUGUACACACCCAGCCUAUCAAGUGAUUUUUAAUGCAAAAGCACACAACUUGUUUUUAUUUCAGGGAAGCCUGAAGUCUCACAGAGUUUAGCUGAUUAAAGUUAAUCAUUUUCAGUAUGUUGGAUGCUUAAAAUCAAGUAUGAGAAAAAAAUAUUCUGAAGCUUAAAUGAAAAUGAAUAUUAAAUUAAUACAUUUGUUGGAUAUAGUAUAUCACCCACUUCUAUCUCAUCCCUGAUCCACAUAAAUUCUAAGGUGGGAGAAGGGAGAGUGUCUGAUGUAUUUGACUACUGUAAACUCUGCCUCUGAGUUCCUGCCCUUGGCCUUCGUCAAUCUUGAUAAUUUCUCACCAGUAUCUGUCCCUCAUGAUCCAGCAGCAAGGGUUUCUACAGUCCUGGAAGCCAGUGAGGAAGUGCCUUGCAGGCCUGAAGGCUCAUCGUGUUACCUCCUUUCCUUGUGUCACUGCUUACAUGGGCAGCCCUGCUCCCAUUGGGGGCCCAGGGCUCUCCUAAGAGUGCUGUCUAGACAGCUGCUUACCUUCCUGACCAGCCAAGCACUGGGUCACAGUGAGGGGCUUCCAGAACUGUAUGACUUCCAGGACUGUUUGAGGUUUGGCUUCCUUAAACCUUUUUCAUAAUAUGUUCCUGGUCUGGGACAUCCACUACUGAAGUGGCAUCCAUAGGUCAGCCCCAGGUAAUGGCAGUUACCGCUGUUUUAGUUGGUGGCAGACUCAGGAGGAGGAAAGAGGAGGGCUGGUUACUAUCAAGUAGAAUGGUUAUGAAAGGAAAACAUACAUCACUGUUUCCCCAUAAAAUGGAAAAAAAUUGAAAAUAGAAAUGAUCUGUAAUACAUCUUUCCAUCCCUAAUAAUUAUCAACAUUUAUUGAACAAUAACCAUCUGCCAAAUGUAGCAUAUGGUUACAUGUAGCAUAUUCACUUAACUCUGAAUCCUCAUAAAAAGCAUGUGAGGAGGACAGUGAGGCACAGGCAGGACCUAUGUCCCCUGAGUCGUGGAGCCAGGGUUAGACAUGGCUGUGGGGUUCCAGUCUGUGCUCUUAACACCACCCUGAGGUGCCUGAUGUGAAUAUAGCACCUGACUCAUGGUAGCUGCUCAAUACAUUUUUUAUUAGCUGUCUAAAGGAAAGAGAACACCCCUUGAAGUGAGAAUUGAAUUUACCUCUGCUUUGAAACUUAGAGUAGACCCCACCUACUGACUUAAUAUCUGCUGGAAUAACAAAAGCUCUUGCAAGGGUCAUAUCUAAAAGUAUUUUGUAAACCAGGCAUGGCAGUGUGUGCCUAUGGUCCCAGCUUCUUGGAGACUGUGGCGUGAGGAUUGCUUGGUCCCAGGAGUUCAAGGCUGCAGUGAGCCAUGAUCGUACCACUGCACUUGUGCCUGGGUGACAAAGCAAGAUUCCACCUCUUUAGAAAAAAGUAUAUCAUUAGAGAAUUUAGUACAUAACAAAGAUAGUUGUUCAAAGCAGUAGGUAAAAAUAGAUUAUUCAGUAAAGGGCACUGGAAGAACUGGCUUGUCACUACAGGGGAAAAAACCCUGCAUUCUUUGUAUUUCCUUUUUUUUUUUUCCUUUUUGUUUUUUGUGUUUCCUUACUCCUUACAUCAAAAAGGAAUUUCAAAUGGAUGAACAAUUUAAAUGUAAAUAUGAAACUGUAUCUUGGAAACAAAUGUGGGUGUGUUUAUAAACUUAGAGUAGGAAAUGUCCUUCUAAAUUUAACAACAAUUGAGAACUAAUAAAAGAUUGACAAGAUUAGGUUAUUUAAAACAACAACAGGGUGUCUGGCAAGAUGGUUGAAUAGGAACAGCUCUGGUCUGCAGCUCCCAGUGAGAUCAACACAGAAGACCAGUGAUUUCUGCAUUUCCAACUGAGGUAUCUGGCUUAUCUCAUUGGUACAGGUUAGACAGUGGGUGCAGCCCAUGCACGGAAGGUGAGCAGAAGCAGGGUGGGGCAUUGCCUCACCUGGGAAGUGCAAGAGGUUGGGGAAUGCCCUCCCCUAGCCACGGGAAGCUGUGAGGGACCAUGCCAUGAGGGAUGGCACAUUCUGGCCUACAUACUACACUUUUUCCAUGUUCUUCGCAACCCACAGACCAAGAUUCCCCCAGGUGCUUCUGCCACCAGGGCCCUGGGUUUCAAGCACAAAACUGGGAGGCCGUUUGGGUAAACGCUGAGCUUAGCUCCAGGAGUUUUUUUUUUUUUUCCCAUACCUCCAUGGUGCCUGGAACACCAGUGAGACAGAACUGUUCACUCCCUUGGAAAGGAGGCUGAAGCCAGGGAGCCAAGUGGUCUUCCUCAGUGAAUCCCACCCCCAGGGAGCCCAGCAAGCCAAGAUCCACUUGUUUGAAAAUCUUCCUGCCAGAACAACAGUCUGAAGUCAACCUAGGACACUCCAGCUUGGUGGGGGGAGGGGCGUCCACCAUUACUGAGGCUUGAGUAGGUGGUUUUCCCCUCAAGUGUAAACAAAGCCUAUGAGAAGCUUGAACUGGGUGGAGCCCACCGCAGUUUGGCAAAGCUGCUGUAGUCAGACUGCCUCUGUAGAUUCUUCCUCAUUGAGCAGGGCAUCUUUGAAAGUAAAGCAGCAGCCCCAUUCAAGGGCUUAUAGAUAAAAACUCCCAUCUCCCUGGAGCAGAGCACCUGGGGGAAGAGGUGGCUGUGGGUGCAGCUUCAGCAGGCUUAAAUGUUCCUGCCUGCUGGCUCUGAAGAGAGCAAUGGAUCUCCCAGCAUGGCACUUCAGAUCUGCUAAUGGACAGACUCCCUCUUCAAGUGGGUCCCUGACCCCCAUGCCUUCUGACUGGGCGAUACCUCCCAGUAGGGGUCAAAUAGACACCUCACAUAGGAGAGCUCUGGCUGAUAUCUGGCCAAUACUCCUCUGGGACAAAGUGUCCCAGGGAAGGAACAGGCAACAGUCUUUGCUGUUUUGCAGCCUCUGCUGAUGAUAACCAGGCAAACAGAAUCUGGAGUGGACUUUGUACAAAUCUGCAGCAGAGGGGCCUGUUGAAGGAAGACUACCAAAUGGAAAGGAAUAGCAUCAACAUCAACAAAAAGGAUGUCCACACAGAAACCCCAUCUGAAGGUCACCAGCAUCAAAGACAAAAGCUUGAUAAAUCCAUGAAGAUAAGGAAAAACCAAGCGCAAAAAAGCUGAAAAUUCCAAAAAUCAGAACACUUAUUCUACUCCAAAGGAUCACAACUCCUUGCCAGCAAGAGAACAAAACUGGACAGGGAAUGAGUUUGAUGAACUGAUGGAAGUAAGCUUCUGAAGAUGGGUAAUAACAAAGUCUUCCGAGUUAAAGGAGCAUAUUCUAACCCAAUGCAAGGAAGCUAAGAACCUUGAAAAAAGGUUAGAGGAAUUGCUAACUAGAAUAACUGGUUUAGAGAAGAACAUAAAUGACCUGAUAGAGCUUAAAAACACAGCACGAGAACUUCAUGAAGCAUACACAAGUAUCAAUAGCCAAAUCAAUGAGGUGGAGAAAGGAUAUCAGAGAUUGAAGAUCAACUUAAUGAAAUAAAGCUCAAAGACAAGAUUGGAGAAAAAUAAUGAAAAGGAAUGGACAAAGCCUCCAAGAAAUAUGGGACUAUGUGAAAAGACCAAACCUGUGUUUGAUUGGUAUGCCUGAAAGUGAUGGGGAGAAUGGAACCAAGUUGGAAAACACUCUUAAGCAUAUUAUCCAGGAGAACUUUCCCAACCUAGCAAGACAGGCCAAGAUUCAAAUUCAGGAAAUACAGAAAACACCGCAAAGAUACUCCUUGAGAAGAGCAACCCCAAGACACAUAAUUUUCAGAUUUACCAAGGUUGAAAUGAAGGAAAAAAUGUUAAAGGCAGCCAGAGAGAAAGGUUGGGUUACCCACAAAGUGAAGCGCAUCAGACUAACAAUGGAUAUCUCUGUAGAAACUCUACAAGCCAGAAGACAGUGGGGACCAAUAUUCAACAUUCUUAAAGAAAAAUAUUUUCAACUGGGCAUGAUAGCUCACACCUAUAAUCCCAGCACUUUGGGAGGCUGAGGCAGGCGGAUCGCCUGAGGUCAGGAGUUUGAGACCAGCCUGACCAACAUGGAGAGACCCCAUCUAUACUAAAAAUACAAAAUUCGCUGGGUGUGAUAGCACAUGCCUGUAGUCCCAGCUACUCAGGAAGCUGAGGCAGGAGAAUUGCUUGAAGCUAGUAGGCAGAGGUUGCAGUCAGCUGAGAUUGUGCCAUUGUACUCCAGCCUGGGCAACAAGAGUGAAACUCUGAUUUAAAAAAAAAAAAUUAUAACCCAAAAUUUUAUAUCCAGUCAAACUAAGCUUCAAAAGUGAAGGAGAAAUAAAAUCCUUUACAGACAAGCAAAUGCUGAGAGAUUUUGUCACCACCAGGCCUGCUUUACAAGAGCUCCUGAAGGAAGCACUAAAUAUGAAAAGGGAAAAACUGGUACUAGCCACUCCAAAAACAUAUGAAAUUGUAAAGACCAUUGACACUAUGAAGAAACUGCAUCAACUUAUGGGCAGAAUAACCAGCUAGUAUCAUAAUGACAGGAUCAAAUUCACAUGUAACAAUAUCAACCUUAAAUGUAAACGGGCUGAAUGCCCCCAGUUAAAAGACACAGACUGGCAAGUUGGAUAAAGAGUCAAGACCCAUCAGUGUGCUGUAUUCAGGAGCCCCAUCUCAUGUGCAAACACACACACAGGCUCAAAAUGCAGGGAUGGAGGAAGAUUUACCAAGCAAAUGGAAAGCAAAAAAAAGCAGGGGUUGCAAUCCUAGUCUCUUAUCAGACUUAUCAAACAGACUUUAAACAAAGAUCAAAAAAGAUAAAGAAAGACAUUAUAUAAUGGUAAAGGGAUCAAUGUAACAAGAAGAGCUAACUAUCCUAAAUAUAUAUGCAACCCAAUAAAGGAGCACCCAGAUUCAUAAAGCAAGUUCUUAGAGAUCUACAAAGAGACUUAGACUUUCACACAAUAAUAGUGGGAGACUUUAACACCCCACAUCAAUAUUAGAUCAAUGAGACAGAAAAUUAACAAGGAUAUUCAGGACUUAAACUCAGCUCUGGACCAAGUGGAUCUAAUAGACAUCUGUAGAACUCUCCACCUCAAAUCAACAGAAUAUAGAUUCUUCUCAGCACUACAUCACACCUAUUCUAAAACUGACCACAUAAUUUCAGGUAAAACACUCCUCAGCAAAUGCAAAAGAAUGGAAAUCAUAACAGUCCUGUCAGACCACAGGGCAGUCAAAUUAGAACUCAGGAUAAAGAAACUGAAAACAGCACAACUACAUAGAAACUGAACAACCUGCUCCUGAAUGACUACUGGGUAAAUAAUGAAAUUAAGGCAGAAAUACAUAAGUUAUUUGAAAUCAGUGAGAACAAAGAUACAAUGUACCAGAAUCUCUGGGACACAGCUAAAGCAGUGUUUAGAGGGAAAUUUAUAGCACUGAAUGCCCACAGAAGAAAGCAGGAAAGAUCGAAAAUUGACACCCUAACAUUACAAAUAAAAGAACUAGAGAAGUAAGAGCAAACAACUUCAGAAGCUAGAAGGCAAGAAAUAACUAAGAUCAUCCCAGCACUUUGGGAGGCCGAGGUGGGUAGACCAUGAGGUCAAGAGAUUGAGGCCAUCCUGGUCAACAUGGUGAAGCCCUGUCUCUACUAAAAAUAUAACAAAUUAGCUGGGCAUGGUGGUGCAUGCCUGUAAUCCCAGCUACUCAGGAGACUGAGGCAGGAGAAUUGCCUGAACCUGGGAGGCGGAGGUUGCAGUGAGCCGAGAUCACGCCAUUGCACUCCAGCCUGGGUAACGAGAGCGAAACUCCAUCUCAAAAAAACAAAAAACAAAACAAAAAAAAACCUAAGAUCAGAGCAGAACUGAAGGAGAUAGACACACGAAAAACCCUUCAUGAAAAUCAGUGAAUCCAGGAGCUGGUUUUUUGAAAACAUUAACAAAAUAGACUGCUAGCCAGACUAAUAAGAAAAGAGAUAAGUAUCAAAUAGACACAAUAAAAAAUGAUAAAGGGGAGAUCACCACUGAUCUGACAGAAAUACAGACUACCAUCAGAGAAUACUACAAACAUCUCUAUGCAAAUAAACUAGAAAAUCUAGAAGAAAUGGAUAAAUUUCUGGACACAUACACCCUCUCAAGAUUAAACCAGGAAGAAGUCAAAUUCCUGAAUAGACCAAUAACAAGUUUUGAAAUUGAGGCAGUAAUUAAUAGCCUACCUACCAAAAAAAGCCAAGGACCAGAUAGAUUCACAGCUGAAUUCUACCAGAGUUACAAAGAGGAGCUCGUACCAUUCCUAUGAAACUUCUAAACAAUAAAAAAAGAGGGACUCCUCCCUAACUCAUUUUAUGAGGCCAGCAUCAUCCUGAUACCAAAAUCUGGCAGAGACACAACAAAACAAGAAAAUUUCAGGCCAAUAUCCCUGGUGAACAUCAAUGCAAAAAUCCUCAAUAAAAUACUAGCAAACUGAAUCCAGCAGCACCCUAAAAGCUUAUCCACCAUAAUCAAGUUGGCUUCAUCCCUCGAAUGCAAGACUGGUUCAACAUAUGCAAAUCAAUGAACGUAAUCUAUCAUGUAAACAGAACCAAUGACAAAAACCGCAUGGUUUUCUCAAUAGAUGCAGAAAAGGCCUUCAAUAAAAUUCAACACCCCUUCAUGCUAAAAACUCUCAAUAAAUUAGAUAUUGAUAGAAUAAAGCUCAAAAUAAGAGCUAUUUAUGACAAACCCACAGCUGGUGUCAUACUGAAUGGGCAAAAGCUGGAAGCAUUCUUUUUGAAAACUAGCACAAGACAAGGAUGCCCUCUCUCACCACUACUAUUCAACAUGGUAUUGGACAUCCUGGCAAUUGGCAAGGGAAAGAAAACGUAUUCAAAUAGGAAGAGAGGAAGUCAUAUUGUCUCUGAUUACAGAUGACAUGAUUGUAUAUUUAGAAAACUCCAUCAUCUCAGCCCAAAAUCUCCGUAAGCUGAUAAGCAACUUCAGCAAAGUCUCAGGAUACAAAAUUAAUGUGUAAAAAUCACAAGCAUUCCUAUACAUCAAUAAUAGAGAGCCAAAUUACCAGUGAACUCCCAUUCACAGUUGCUAUAAAGAAAGUAAAAUACCUAGGAAUAUAACUUAGAAGGGAUGUGAAGGACCUCUUCAAGGAGAACUAGAAACUACUGCCCAAAUAAACAAGAGAGGACACAAACAAAUGGAAAAACAUACCAUGCUCAUGGAUAAGAAGAAUCAAUAUUGUGAAAAUGGCCAAACUGCCCAAAGUGGUUUAUAGAUUCAGUGCUAUCCUCAUCAAGCUACCAUUGAUUUUUUUCACAAAAUUAGGAAAAGAACUACUUAAAAUUGGCCGGCACAGUGGCUCAAGCCUGUAAUCCCAGCACUUUGGGAGGCCGAGGCGGCUGGAUCAUGAGGUCAAGAGAUCGAGACCAUCCUGGUCAGCAUGGUGGAACCCUGUCUCUACUAAGAAUACAAAAAAAGAUUAGCUGGGCAUUGUGGUGCGUUCCUGUUAUCCUGGCUGCUUGGGUGGCUGAGGCAGGGGAAUUGCCGGAACCCAGGAGGUGGAGGUUGUGGUCAGCCGAGAUCGCACCAUUGCACUCCAGCCUGGGUAACAAGAGUGAAACUCUGUCUCAAAAAAAAAAAAAAAAACUACUUAAAAUUUCACAUGGAACCAAAAAAAGAGUCCUUAUAGCCAAGACAAUCCUAAACAAAAAGAACAAAGCUGGAAGCAUCUUGCUACCUGACUUAUACUACAAGGCUACAGUAACCAAAACAGCAUGAUACUCGUACCAAAACAAAUACAUAGACCAAUGUAACAGAACAGAGGCCUCAGAAAUAAUGCCAGACAUCUACAACCAUCUGAUCUUUGACAAACUUGACAAAACAAGCAAUGGGGAAAGGAUUCCCUAUUUAAUAAAUGGUGUUGGGAAAACUGGCUAGCCAUAUGCAGAAAACUGAAACUGGACCCCUUCCUUAUACCUUAAACAAAAAUUAACUGAAGAUGGAUUAAAGACUUAAACGUAAUACCUAAAACCAUAAAAACCCUAGAAGAAAACCUAGGCAGUAUCAUUCAGGACAUAGACAUGCACAAAAACUUCAUGACUGAAACACCAAAUGCAACGGCAACAAAAGUCAAAAUUGACAAAUGGGAUCUAAUUAAAAAGCUUCUGCACAGCAAAAGAAACUAUUCUUAGAGUGAACAGACAACCUACAAAAUGGGAGAAAAUCUUUGCAAUCUGUUCAACUGACAAAGGGCUAAUAUUCAGAAUCUACAAAGCACUUAAACAAAUUUACAAGAAAAAAAGCAACACCAUCAAAAAGUGGCUAAAGGAUAUAAACAGACACUCUCAAAGGAAGACAUUUAUAUGGCCAACAAACAUGGAAAAAAGCUUAUUAUCACUGUUCAUUAGAGAAAUGAAGCAUUUCAUGCCAGUUAGAAUGGCGAUCAGUAAAAAGUCAGGAAACAACAGAUGCUGGAGAGGAUGUGGAGAAGUGGGAACACUUCUACACUGUUGGAGUAUAGUGUAGUAUACUCCACUAUAGUGUAGUAUGGUGCAACCAUUGUGGAAGACUGUGGCGAUUCCUCACGAAUCUAGAACCAGAAAUUCCAUUUGACCCAGCAAUCCCAUUACUGGGUAUUUACCCAAAGGAUUAAAAAUUAUUCUGUAAAGACACAUGCACAUGUAUAUUUGUUGCAGCACUGUUCACAAUACCAAAGACUUGGAAACAUCCCAAAUGCCCAUCAAUGAUAGACUGAAUAAAGAAAAUGUGGCACAUACGUACCAUGGAAUACUAUGCAGCCAUAAAACAGAUGAGUUCGUGUCCUUUGCAGGGACAUGGAUGAAGCUAGAAAACAUUAUUCUCAGCAAACCAACACAGGAACAGAACACCAAACACCACAUGUUCUCACUCAUAAGUGGGGGUUGAACCAUGAGAACAUAGGGACACAGGGAGGGGAACAUCACACACUGGGGCCUGUUAGGGGCUGGACGCUAGAGGAGGGAUGGCAUUAGUAGAAAUAUGUAAUGUAGAUGACAGGUUGAUGGGUGCAGCAAAUUACCAUGGCACAUGUAUACCUAUAUAACAAAUCUGCAUGUUCUGUACAUGUAUCCCAGAACUUAAAGUAUAUUGAAAAAAAAAAAAAAAGUAGAACCUUCGAAAAAAAAAAAGUUUGGGUAAAAAUUCUAAAGUAAAAUAAUGGAUGAAGAAUUGAAAAAACAUUAUUAGCAUGAAAGACCAAAGAUUGGUUUACCUUUAACAUACAAAGAACUCUUAACAAAUCAGUAAGAUGAACACCCCAGUUUAAAAUUGGGCAAAGAACCUGAAAAGGCAUUUCACCAAAAUGAACAUGCAGAUGGCCAAUAAAUGAGAAGAUGCUCAUUUGUACUUACAAUUAAUGUCCUUUAAAAUAUCACUAAUGAGAUCGUCAGCCAUUAUAAAGUUUGUUUUCUAUGUUACAUCAAAAAACAGACAUUCUCCUACUGCUGUAGGAGAUUGUGAUUUAAAACCUCUAUAUGAAAAGAAGGAAAUUUGUAAAAUGUUAAUAUUUAACUAGAAGGUUCAGUGGGCUCAUGCAUUUGACAGGUUGGACCUGCUUUGGAUAUGGUAAGAUCUAUCAAAUAAUUUUUAAUAUAAUUUAGGCUUAUGUAAGGGUGGGAAAAAUAGUCCAUAUAGUUCCUUUAUACCCUUUACCCUGUUUCCCCUUAACCACAGAAUUUAUCAAAAUUAAGAGGUAAACCUUGGCACUAUCUUUUUUUUUCUUUCUUCUUUUUGAGACAGAGUUUCACUCCAUUGCCAGGUGCCAGGCUGGAGUGCAGUGGCAGUAUCUUGGCUCACUGCAACCUCCGCCUCCCAGGUUCAAGCAGUUCUCCUGCCUCAGACCCCAAGUAGCUGGGACUACAGGCACAUACCACCAUGCCCAGCUAAUUUUUGUAUUUUUAGUAGAGAUGGAGUUUCACCAUGUUGGCCAGGAUGGUCUUGAUCUCUUGACCUCAUGAUCUGCCCACCUCAGCCUCCCUAAGUGCUGGGAUUACAGGUGUGAGCCACCGUGCCUGGCCUGGCGCUAUCUUUUUAACCGUGCUGGCCAAGUGUUUUAUAGAAUGUCCCACAAUUUGACUUCCUCUGAAUUUUCUCCUGAUAAAAUUGAGGUUAUGCAUUCCUGGCAGGAGACAUAAAGGUGCUGUGCCCUCCUAGAGCGGCGUAUCAGGGGGUACAUGAUGUCGAUGUGCCUCAUUACCAGUGAUACCAAGCUUGAUCACGUGGCUAAGGUGGCAUCUGCCAGGAUUCUUCAUGUAGUGGAACUGUUUUUCCCUUUGUAAUUUGCCAACUAUUUUGGAAGAGGGAAGCUCUGUCAAUAUUAAAAACAUGUUUUUGACCCAGAAAUAGAUCUCACAGAAAUGUGAUUGAUUUAAUCUCCUGCAAAAUGGGGGUGAUAAUGCCCCCAAAGCUGAUAUAAGCCCCUGUGUUGGGCAUCGUCUCACAGUAGUAAGCUCGCAGUUGGUUCAUCUCAAGCCUUUUGAGGCCAGCUAGGUUUGGAACUCAGGACUCUUCAGAAUUCAGAUAAAAUGGGGUGUUUAUUAUAUAUUAUGUGAGAGCCCCAGGAGGAGUUAGGACAGCAACCCAUUCUCAAACACUUAUCUUUCUGCAGAGAAAUGUAUGAGUAUUCACAUGAAGGGAAGAAGAUAAAAGACUUUAAAUAAAUAGCUUCAGAUAAGUUCUGAUCAGACAUUGAUCUGAGUUCAGGUUUUGUUGUUGGAAAGUUUUUAAUAAUCUCUUUGAGUUUUUAGAGACCAUUUUGGAUUUCAAAGUUGUGAAUAAGGUACCGUCCACAUAGGUAAAAGUUUGUAAACACAGAGAUGGGUGCACAGUUGACCUUCCGUAUCCAUGGGUUGCACAUCUGCAGAUUCAACCAGCUGUUGUUCAAAAUGUAGUUAAGCCCAGCCAGGCAUGGUGGCUCAUGACUGUAAUCCCAGCACUUUGGGAGGCUGAGGCAGGCGGAUCACUUGAGGCAGAGAGUUCAAGACCAGCCUGGCCAACAUGUGAAACUCUGUCUCUACUAAAAAUACAAAAAAAAUUAGCUGGGUGUGGUGGCAGGUACCUGUAAUCCCAGCUACUCAGGAGGCUGAGGUGGGAGAAUCCCUUGAACCUAGGAGGCAGAGGUUGCAGUGAGCCAAGUUUGUGCCACUGCACUCCAGCCUGGAUGAUGGAGCAAGACUCUGUCUCAGACAAACAAAAAAAUAUAUAGUUAGGCCUGCAGUGGUUGCAUCAGUAUUGAACGUGUAUAGAUUUUGCCAUUAGUUCCUAAACAUAUGGCUUAACAGCUAAUUACUUAGCAUUUACAUUGUGCUAAACAUUAUAAGUAAUCUAGACAUGGUUUAAAGCUUAGAGGAGGAUGUGCCUGGGUUGUAUGCAAAUACUGCCAUUUUAUGUAAAGGGCUUGAACAUCCUUGGCUUUUGGUGUCCUCAGGGGGUCCUGGAACCAGUCCCCAGUGAAUACUGAUGAACAGCUGUGUAAGGCUGUUUAUGGUAGCAUUGUUGGAAAUAAGACUGGAAAACCUUGAAUAUUUCUCUGCAGGAGAUCGGUUAAGUAAAGCUUGGCACACAGUGGUCCCCUAUUCAGCCCUUUGAAAAGAAUGGAGCAAACCAUAAUGUGCUACUGAAAAAGGGGGCCAAGAUGUGUUACUAAGCAUAUCCAGAAUGGUAUGAAUGGUGUGAUCUUGUUUGGAUUAAAAUAAAUAUAUUGAUGCAUAUAUAUGUAUCAAGAAACAUCUAGAAUUACAUCUAGAAAUGUCUAGAAUAGCAGCUAUACAUAUGAAUCACCUGGGGAGGUUAAAAAAUACCAAUAGCAGUGCAACCUGGGUCGGCGUAGCCAUGACGUCUCGUGUCCUUUCCUCCUGUGUCCGCCGCCUACCGGCGGCCUUCGCGCCGCUGCCCCCCGGGUCUCCAUGCUGUUUGCCGCCCAGCCUUUCAGCACCGCUCUGUGCUCCGCGGGGAUCCGGACGAGGCCCCAGCCUUCGCAGCGGCCUCGGUGUUCGCGCAGGUUCCGGGUAGAGUUACACAGUUGUGCCGCUAGUAUUGCGAAGCGACCCCUUUGACAUUAGAGGGCAUCCAGGACCGUGUUCUUUACGUAUUGAAACUCUAUGACAAGAUUGACCCAGAGAAGCUUUCUGUAAAUUCUCAUUUUAUGAAAGACAUGGGCUUAGUUUGGACCAAGUGGAGAUUAUCAUGGCCAUGGAAGACGAAUUUGGGUUUGAAAUUCCUGAUUUAGAUGCGGAAAAGUUAAUGUGUCCACAAGAAAUUGUGGAUUACAUUGCAGAUAAGAGGAUGUAUAUGAAUAAAGUAUCAGACCCUUUAGCUUUGUUGAGAGAGGACACAGAUGAUACUGACGAAUGUCUGGCAGUGAGGACACAGUUUGGCAUUAUUGCUGGCUCUGGCAGAGUAAUUCUGAGGGACUUGUAUUUAAAUUGUGUAAGUGUUUUUCUCUUUGAAAAUAAAUCUAUAAAAAAAAUACCAGUAUCUGGGCCUUGUCCUAGACCCCUUUGAAUUAGAAAUGCAGGGGUGGGGGCCAGGUGUGAGGACUCACGUCUGUAAUCCCAGCACUUUGGGAGGCUGAGGUGGGAGGAUCACUGAGCUCAGGAGUUUGAGACCAGCUUGGGCAACAGAGCGAGACCUCAUCUCUACAAAAAUAGAAAAAAUUAGCUGGGCAUGGUGGAGCACAGCUGUAGUCCCAGCUACUUGGGAAGCUGAGGUGGGAGAAUCUCUUGAGCCCAGGAAGUUGAGGCUGCAGUGAGCUAGGAUCACACCAACAGGCAGCUCUGUCAGCCUGGGUGAGAGAGUGAGACCCUGUCUCAAAAAAAAGGAAAGAAAUCAAGUGGUGGAGCCCAGGUAUUCAUAUUUUAAAAAGUGUUCCAGGUGAUGUUGGUGCCCUUUGAGUGUUGAGGACCACUGGAAUAGAAGGACCCAGAUGUUAGAAAAUGGGAUCCCAUUCUUUUGAAGUAGGAUGAGGGUGAUGUAAUUUAUACUUUGUUUUUGGAAACCGAGUCUCCCUCUGUCGCCCAGGCUGAAGUGCAGUGGUAUGAUCUUGGCUCACUGCCACCUCCACCUCCGGGGUUCAAGUGAUUCUCUUGCCUCAGCCUCCUGAGUAGCUGGAACUGCAGGUGUAUGCCAUCAUGCCUGGCUGAUUUUUGUAUUUUUAGUAAAAAUGGGGUUUCACCAUGUUGGCCAGGCUGGUCUCAAGUUCCUGACCUCAGACCACCCACCUGCCUCGGCCUCCCUAAGUGCUAGGAUUACAGUUAUGAGCCACUGCACCCAGCCAAUUUAUACUGUGUGUAGUUUCCCAUUAUUCCUUAGCAAAAGCCAUUUGGAAAAGUCCUCACCACCCCCUGUUAUGUUUUUAUUUUUAUAUUUUUAAAAAAAGGUUAAGGCUGGGUGCAGUGGCUCAUAGUUGGAAUCCCAGUACUUUGAGAGGCCCAGAUGGGAGGAUCACUUGAGGUCAGGAGUUUGAGGCUGGUGUAGGCAAUAGUGAGACCCUGUCUGUACAAAAUUUUUUUUUAAAAAUUAGCUGGGCAUGGUGGCCCAUGCCUGUAGUCCCAGCUACCUGAGAGGUUGAGGCAGGAGGAUCGUUUGAGCCCAAGAGUUUGAGGCUUCAGUGAGUCAUGAUUGUGCCACUGUACUCCAGCCUGGGCGAUAGAGACCCUGUCUCUAGAAUAAAUAAAAAAAAAUUUUAAAAAGUUUACGAGUCAAAAAAGACUUUUGCAAUCAAAAUGAGAUGUGAUAGGACAGUGGAGACACAGCAGAUCUGUAGAAUCUUCUAGAAGUUUUCUAUUUCUGAGCUUAUGCUCUUUGAGUAUAUUCAGUGCUUCCUGAUAUCAACUGUUAAUUGAAAGAAAAACAUUGUUUCCCCGUUCAUCCUGAGAGGCCAGAAGCUGGUCAGAAUUUCCACCCAUGGUAAUUCUGGGGGUGCUUUAUUUUAGAUGAUUCUGCUAGAUUGCUUCUUUAUUCCUGGGCAGACCCCCACACUAGUAGCUAGAUGUUAAGAAAGGAAGCCUUUUAAUGACUUGGAGAGAGCCCUCUCACUUGAAGAGACUAUAGGGUUAGGUUCAGCUCGCCCUUGUUCUCACUGGUGAGAAUUGUGUUUUGCAGGUGACUCCUUGGUGGUCUCUUCUCCCCUCCCAUCCCUCGUCUUUCUCCCCACCUUCCGCUUCCCUUUCCUCUUCUGUUGCUAGACACUCCGGUGUGAAAGGCUCUCUGUAGAGCUCAGAGAGGCGGUUGCAGUGAAACCGCUCUCACUCUGAUAAGGUUCUGUUUUAUCUGGCUCAGCAAAAGCCGUUUGGAAGAGUACACUUUCCUUGUUCCUGGAGACCUGUGCUUGCAUCCAGCCAGACCUGGCUUUGAAUUGAAGCCCAUUAACAACACUGAUGGCGUCUUUCUUCUAAGCUGAAUGUAUUUUUGUGCACUUUGUAGCUGUCACACAGAGGCACUGUUUUUCCUCACAUGAGGCAUACAGUGUAGCAGUUGCACAGAUAUGGUCCCUAAAGUGAGAAACUAAUGUUUGAAGGACAAGGUGCUCUAAUUUGGCAUGGAGUGAAUGCCUCGUUUCCACCUCAAAGCCUAAGAUGGAACACAUUUUUCCCAGUGACUUCAGGCAGAUGGCACACCUCCCACUUCUGUUUCAUGCCACGAAGGAAGAGACACUUCUAUAGCCAGGGCUUUGCCUGCAUAGUGAUAUACACGGUGGGGAGUUCACAUUCACCUCCAGAAUGGGUUUCCUGCUUUGCUUGAGAAAUGCUUUAAUUGGGUGUCAUUCAUAAUCGUGUCAAAGGGUAAAAAAACCCUUGUUUGGAAUCAAAUCAAAAAGCUCUCUCUGAGAAGUAAUGAGGAAUAUACUCUUUCUAAUGUGAUGUGGAAGCACUUAAAAUAUAUUAUUGCUGUUUACAGAAAUGAUUACUUCUCAAACAUUGCUGCUUACAGAAAUGAUUAAUUCUAAAACUAUGUCAGGAAGGUGAGUGUGGUAAUGAUUUUAGAGGGGAGGAAUCUGAAAUGUAAGAUAUAUCCUCCCUUGCCUAAAGUCUCAAGCUAGUCUGUGACAGGUUUUGGGGCGAUGCCUGCCCCGCUGAGCCUGUCCUGGGAGCUGGACACACUGCCCUGGGUGCACAACACCAUGGGCUCUGUGUGUGCCGUUCACAUGCUCUUCUCCCUCAACAGCUUUGCCAUCAAGGAGAAGAUGCCGGCCCAUGCUGCCUUGCAGGAUGCCUUUCCUCUUGGUUGUAAGGAUGACACUGUCUGCUUUGGAGACGAUUACACUAAUAUUGAGGCUUAUUUAUUUGCUUUU